rnacentral:rRNA from 1 species
UACAGAGGGUGCAAGCGUUAAUCGGAAUUACUGGGCGUAAAGCGUGCGUAGACGGUUACAUAAGUCGGGUGUGAAAGCCCCGGGCUCAACCCGGGAAGUGCACCCGAAACUGCAAGGCUCGAGUACCGGAGAGGUUGGUGGAAUUCUCGGUGUAGAGGUGAAAUUCGUAGAUAUCGAGAGGAACACCGGUGGCGAAGGCGGCCAACUGGACGAGUACUGACGCUGAGACACGAAAGCGUGGGGAGCAAACAGG